UCCAUCCCGCCUGCGGAGAGAAGACAGGAGGACUUCGUCAUCACCAACGACAACCAUCAACACCAUCACCACCCCAUUGCCACAUCAACAGCAUCACCAUCAGACCAUGGUUAUCAUCUUCUCACCACCACGUCACCACCAUCAUCCCAUGAUCAAGAUGGUGGCCGUUUCUAAGUAUCUGGAGAUACAUCAUAGAGGUGCUCCGGAGACUAGAAAUCCCACUAUUCGUGCUUAGGAGAAGAGAACAACAGAAGAACCUCUUGACCAUCAAAGGUGGAAUAGAUGGUCUCAGAAGGCGGUGGAAUCUCCUUUGAAGGCCUUCAACCCAUGAUUGGGAGGCCACGUUUCAUGGUGUUUCUGAGGUCGAACGAGGCCUUCUUUGGAGGCCUUCAACCCAAGGUUAGGAGGCCUUCAACCCCAGGUAAGGAGGCCACAUUUUAUGGUGUUCCUGAGGUCGAACGAGGCCUUCUUUGGAGGCCUUCAACCCAAGAUUAGGAGGCCACAUUUUAUGGUGUUUCUGAGGUCGAACGAGGCCUUCUUUGGAGGCCUUCAACCCCAGGUAAGGAGGCCACGUUUUAUGGUUUCUGAGGUCGAACGAGGACUUCUUUGGAGGCCUUCAACCCCAGGUAAGGAGGCCACGUUUUAUGGUGUUUCUGAGGUCGAACGAGGCCUUCUUUGGAGGCCUUCAACCCCAGGUAAGGAGGCCACGUUUUAUGGUUUCUGAGGUCGAACGAGGACUUCUUUGGAGGCCUUCAACCCCAGAUUAGGAGGCCUUCAACCCAAGUUAAGGAGGCCACGUUUUAUGGAGUUUCUGAGGUCGAACGAGGCCUUCUUUGGAGACCUUCAACUCAAGGUUAGGAGGCCUUCAACCCAAGAUUAGGAGGCCACGUUUUAUGGUGUUUCUGAGGUCAAACGAGGCCUUCUUUGCAGGCCUUCAACCCAAGGUUAGGAGGCCUUCAACCCAAGAUUAGGAGGCCACGUUUUAUGGUGUUUCCGAGGUCGAACGAGGCCUUCUUUGGAGGCCUUCAACCCAAGGUUAGGAGGCCACGUUUUAUGGUGUUUUUGAGGUCGAACGAGGCCUUCUUUGGAGGCCUUCAACCCAAGGUUAGGAGGCCACGUUUUAUGGGAUCCCUUCAGACACUGAAUUCUCAUAAGGAUCAGUCCAGAUCAUCCAAGAUUCCUAUCAACAUCUUUUGAAGACCCUAGGAGUGGGGAGGACUCAGUAACCGAAAACCACGUCUCUCUUUUGUCCGUCUGUUUGUAACCAUAGACACACAAACGGAUCGAAUGUUUCGUGGAGCCGUUCCAAGACAACGGUCUGAAUAAAUAAUUUAUCGGAGGGGAAAUUGAGAGAGAGAGGCAGAUGGGCAGCGGGAGGAAAGUCAAUACAGAAGAAGGGUUUUCCACGCGGACCUGGCAUGAUGGGAGUUGUAGUUCGCCCACAACCUUAUGCAUAUGGGACGGGUAUAGAAAGAGUGAACCGGAUUUCCGAAGGGAGCGACUCACCUUUCGGUCGGUAAACAAAGACGAAAGCACGCUGGUCGUGUUUGCGUUUGGAUUACGAGCGGCUGCUCCUUUCCGGAAAUUUCACGAAGAGGCUCCGGCUCGAUCUUCGCCGCAUGGCAUUGGCUCUCCCUUCAGGGCGAUGGGAGUUGUAGUCCGAGCCGAUGGCUUCAGGAAAGCAUCUUGACCUGUGCAACACAAUAUAUAUAUAUAUCGGCUUGUUUGUUUACAUCAGCUAGAUUGGCAGAAGCUGGGGCUCAUCGACCUUUUGGUCAGCAAGUUUGUAAGCUCAGCGGUUUAAUCCACCGCACCACCCAGGGCUCAUAAUAAUAAUAAUAAUAAUAACAACAACAACUAUAUAUAUAUAUAAAAGAGUAAUGGCGUCACGGCAGCGGACAAAACAACAAAAGUAAACACCCCACAACCUCGAAAAUUGACACCACAACCCCUCAUCCAUGCCUCUUGGUUGAUACAACAAAAAGAAAAGAAAAAUGAAGUCCUAAUUAGAAGGAGAGGAAUAAUUGUUUUUAUCAAAUUGCUGCCAGUUAGAAGGCUAAGCUCCGCCCACUUGGCCUCCUAGCAACUCACUCAGCCCAGGGGACCCUUUACCUUAACUACCACCAAUUCCUCAAUACUUUAUUUCCCAUACCACCAUACUUCGCCACAGCUUUUAUUUAUAUAUAUAUAUGUGUGUGUGUGUGUGUGUGUGUGUGUGUGUGUGUAUAUAUAUAUAUGUACGUUUGUAGGACUGAGUAAACAACAAAACCAGUGAACCCAAUCACACCAAAUUUGCCCACAAAAGACAUAGUCAUCCCUUCUAUGUCUUUCAAUCAAAAAAACCUAGAAAAUAAAAGUCAAAAUUAGAGGGACGAGGAAGAGCCGUUUUCGACCCUGGUUGUUGGUCAGAAGGGUCUCGUUAUGUUAAUAAUAAUAAUAGUAGUAAUAAUCUGGCACAAGCCAGUCAGGGUGGUCCCAGUGGUGAUCGGCUUGCCGGGUUUCCGACAGACCGCACACAACGUCUCGAGGAUGCCCUGCCGUAGAUGGUGGGUGAAACGUCAGGAGAGAGUGCUACCGGGAGGUGGACCUAACCGCCCGGAAAACAACCCUGGUUGUUGGUCAGAAGGGUCUCGUUAUGUUAAUAAUAAUAAUAUAAUAGUAAUAAUCUGGCACAAGGCAGUCAGGGUGGUCCCAGUGGUGAUGGGCUUGCCGGGUUUCCGACAGACAGACCGCACACAACGUCUCGAGGAUGCCCUGCCGUAGAUGGUGGGCGAAACGUCAGGAGAGAGUGCUACCGGGAGGUGGACCUAACCGGCCCGGAAAACUCGCCACAAGCCAGAGAUUCGUGAAAUCUCCCCCGACAACACAUAACAUCCCGGUUUUUUGAAUAUAAACAAGGGCGGAAAAUUCAGCCUGUCUCGGAAACGAGAGAGCAGAAAAAAAUUCAGCGCGGAAUUUGCCGAGCUCGGCACAUUUUUUUCCUCCCCUGCUGACCACACGUCUGUGCAAUUUUUUCCCCUCUUUCCUUACCUGCAUGUUGUGUAUCCUUGCAGAAAAUAUAUUAUAUAUAUAUAUCGAUUGCAAGAGAAUUUUGUAUUUAUUUUCUUGCGAAAUGCAAAAUUCGGGGAUUCCUCCUCGCAGAACGAGAAAUUGUUAUCGGCUUACAACAGCGGCUUCUCGGGCAUUUCUUAGUUUGCUUUUUUUUCUCGAAUCUCUCCCGGGAUCCAAGGUUGAAACUUGACUCUUCCGAAAAAAAACGAGAGAGAGAGAGAGAUAAAGUUUCAAAUUCAGGGAACUCGAGGAAGGGUGGGAGAGUGACAGCCGGAGCUGCCAAUCAUGGCACAAGGCCUCGUAUGAAGCGGCCAAUCGGAAGGAGAGUAGCGACAAAAGGAGGCGGGGUUUAGGGACGGAAAUCAAAGAUACAGAAUGGGGGACGAUGCCUGGCUCGACAGCAGUGUGUGCGAAAAAGACUGAACAUCAGGAAGAACUUCCUCACUGUGAGAAGGGCUGUUCACCAGUGGAACUCUCUCCCCGGGGCCGUGGUGGAGGCUCCUUCUUUGGAGGCUUUUAAGCAGAGGCUGGAUGGCCAUCUGUCGGGGGUGCUUUGAAUGCGAUUUCCUGCUUCUUGGCAGAAUGGGGUUGGACUGGAUGGCCCAUGUGGUCUCUUCCAACUCUACUAUUCUAUGAUUCUAGGUAUAUGUGUGUGUGUUUAGGUUACUCAGUUGUUAGACUGAUACGCCAGAGUUGCCUCUUUUGAACCGUUAGGGGGAGAAAGGUAACGCCAGUGCACAAAAACACACACACACACACAUAUGUAUGUAUAGGUAUAUGUGUGUGUGUUUAGGUUACUCGGUUGUUAGACUGAUACGCCAGAGUUGCCUCUUUUGAACCGUUAGGGGAAGAAAGGUAAUGCCAGUGCACAAAAAAACCAAACACACAUAGGUGUAUGUGUAUAUAUAUGUGUGAGAGUUCUUUGUGCAAGGCACUUAGGUUACUCGGUUGUUAGACUGAUAUGCCAGAGUUGCCUCUUUUGAACCGUUAGGGGGAGAAAGAUAAUGCCAGUGCACAAAAAAACCACACACACACACGUAUAUAUGUAUAUGUUUUGGUGACGGUAGCCAUUGAAAACAAAAACAAUUUUAUUUUAUUUUUUUUUUU